rnacentral:rRNA from 1 species
GAUGAACGCUGGCGGCGUGCCUAAUACAUGCAAGUCGAGCGAACAGAUGAGGAUCUUGCUCCUCUGACGUUAGCGGCGGACGGGUGAGUAACACGUGGAUAACCUACCUAUAAGACUGGGAUAACUUCGGGAAACCGGAGCUAAUACCAGAUAAUAUAUUGAACCGCAUGGGUCAAUAGUGAAAGACGGUUUUACUGUCACUUAUAGAUGGAUCCGCGCCGCAUUAGCUAGUUGGUAAGGUAACGGCUUACCAAGGCAACGAUGCGUAGCCGAACUGAGAGGGUGAUCGGCCACACUGGAACUGGGCCGCGCUCCCGACUCCUGCGGGACGCAGUAGUCGGGAAUCUUCGGCAACGGGCGAAAGCAUGGCGGAGCAAGGCCACGUGAGUGGUAAAGGUCUUCGGAUCGUAAAGAUCUGUUACUGGUGAAGAACAACUGUGUAAGUAAAUAUACACGUAUUGACGGUACCUAAUCAGAAAGCCACGGCUAACUACGUG